CAUCCUUCCAACCUAUUUAAUUAAGUACCAAUUGUUAGUAAUGGUUAGUGUUGAUACUUUAAGAAUAAGAUGUUUUUUAUAUUAAGAUACAACCUGUAGAGGGAUGGAUAAUUUUGCAUGGAGACAUACUUUUCAAUUAAAUAUUUUUAAACCAAAUAUAAAAAUGUGUGUUUUCUGUUACUACUAGGAAUUGAACAACAGAAUGAGUAACAGUUCAUUUUCAAAUAAACAAAAAUAAAAUGAAUAUGAAUAUUUUAAAAAGAAUACUUUUCACUACCAAUUAUAACCUCCUCAAUGGUCCUAUGCUUGCCUGAUGUGUUGGAGGUAAAGGGCUCUAUUCCAUGUAUGGACCAACCAAAGACUUUAAAAGGGGUAUUUGCUGCUUCUCCCUUAAGUAGUAUUUAAAAGUAAGAGCAAAGUCUAGUUGACUCUGAGUCAGAAUAAUGUAUCCGGAAGGGUUGGAGAUCUUUCUCAGACUAACAUCCUUUACUUUGGGAAAUUCCCAAAAUUAUACUGAUAAACCUUGCAUUACGAAAUUGGUAUCUUAAAUGUUCUGUUCUGAAAAUUCCUUUAAAAAUCUGUAAAAUGGUUUAGGAAUAGCUGAUACAUAUAUGUUCUACGUCUGAUUUUUAAGGGCAAUUUGAUCUAAAAUUUGAAAAUUUGAAAAAUUAUUUCACCAUUUUUCAACUUUAUCUUUAACAUCAGACAUGAAUUAUGGUUUUAUUAAAAUUUAAAGGGAAUAUAUCAUUAUUCCUUUUCAUUUAUAAAUAUCCAUAUUAUUUUAUCCUGAAAUUUCCAAAUGAAGGACAAAAGGUAUUAACAUUAUUUAUCUUUAUUUAAAAUGUAUUAACUAAUCUUUUGACGUUUUUUUGUUUGUGUUGUUGGUUGCUGUUCACUUACAUAUAUCAAAACAAUCCUCAGAAAUAAAAAUGUAUACUCUUAAUUAUAUUUAAUUCCAGUUAAAAGAAUGUAUCCAUUCCGUUUCAUGAUAUAAUUAAAUCCAAAAUUCCAGUUAAAAGAAUGUGUCCAUUCCGUAUCAUGAUAUAAUUAAAUCCUCCAAAUUCCAGUUAAAAGAAUGUAUCCAUUCCGUAUCAUGAUAUAAUUAAAUCCAAAAUUCAAGUUAAAAGAAUGUAUCCAUUCCGUAUCAUGGUAAAACAAGUGAAACUGUGAGCUACUGCCCACUGAGGAUACCCCAACAUAUACUUCAGUACGCAGGAAGUUGUCGAGUUGCGAAUCCAAAAACGCCUCACACAGUAUAGCUGACUUUUAUCAGCCCUGAAACCAAAUUUCAGAAAUCCUUGUAUUGAAGUUCCUGAUAAAAAGGUGACGAAAAUUUCCACCUUAGCUAUCAUGUGUAAAUGAUACAAGUGUUUGGUUAACAGGAAGUUGUUGAGUGAUGAAUCUGAAAAUGCAUCACACAGUAUAGCUGCAUUUUAUCAACACUGAACCAAAUUUCAGAAAUCCUUGUAUUGUUGAUGCUGACAGACUGAAUGAUGGACAGACAGACAGAGGUAAAACAGUAUACCCCCACUUUUUUAAAGGGUUUAUUUUAAUCCCCCAAAUUCCAGUUAAAAGAAUGUAUCCAUUCCGUAUCAUGAUAUUAUUAAAUCCCAAAUUCAGUUUAAAGAAUGUAUCCAUUCCAUAUCAUGAUAUAAUUAAAUCCCAAAUUCAAGUAAAAAGAAUGUAUCCAUUCUGUUUCAUGAUAUGAUUAAAUCCCCCAAAUUCAAAUUAAAAGAAUGUAUCCAUUCUGUAUCAUGAUAUAAUUAAAUCCGAAAUUCAAGUAAAAAGAAUGUAUCCAUUCUGUUUCAUAUGAUUAAAUCCACCAAAUUCAAAUUAAAAGAAUGUAUCCAUUCCUUAUCAUGAUAUAAUUAAAUCCGAAAUUCAAGUAAAAAGAAUGUAUCCAUUCUGUUUCAUAUGAUUAAAUCCACCAAAUUCAAAUUAAAAGAAUGUAUCCAUUCCUUAUCAUGAUAUAAUUAAAUCCCAAAUUCAAGUAAAAAGAAUGUAUCCAUUCCGUAUCAUGAUAUGAUUAAAUCCUAAAUUCAAGUUAAAAGAAUGUAUCCAUUCUGUAUCAUGAUAUUAUUAAAUCCCCCAAAUUCCAGUUAAAAGAAUGUAUCCAUUCCAUAUCAUCAUAUAGUUAAAUCCCAAAUUCAAGUUAAAAGAAUGUAUCCAUUCCGUAUCAUGAUAUAAUUAAAUCCCAAAUUCAAGUAAAAAGAAUGUAUCCAUUCUGUUUCAUGAUAUGAUUAAAUCCCCCAAAUUCAAAUUAAAAGAAUGUAUCCAUUCCGUAUCAUGAUAUAAUUAAAUCCCAAAUUCAAUUUAAAGAAUGUAUCCAUUCUGUAUCAUGAUAUAAUUAAAUCCCAAAUUCAAGUAAAAAGAAUGUAUCCAUUCUGUUUCAUGAUAUGAUUAAAUCCCCCAAAUUCAAAUUAAAAGAAUGUAUCCAUUCCGUAUCAUGAUAUAAUUAAAUCCCAAAUUCAAGUAAAAAGAAUGUAUCCAUUCUGUUUCAUGAUAUGAUUAAAUCCCCCAAAUUCAAAUUAAAAGAAUGUAUCCAUUCCGUAUCAUGAUAUAAUUAAAUCCCAAAUUCAAGUAAAAAAAAUGUAUCCAUUCUGAUUCAUGAUAUGAUUAAAUCCCCCAAAUUCAAAUUAAAAGAAUGUAUCCAUUCCGUAUCAUGAUAUAAUUAAAUCCCAAAUUCAAGUAAAAAGAAUGUAUCCAUUCUGUUUCAUGAUAUGAUUAAAUCCCCCAAAUUCAAAUUAAAAGAAUGUAUCCAUUCCGUAUCAUGAUAUAAUUAAAUCCCAAAUUCAAGUUAAAAGAAUGUAUUCAUUCCGUAUCAUGAUAUAAUUAAAUCCCAAAUUCAAGUUAAAAGAAUGUAUCCAUUCCGUAUCAUGAUAUAAUUAAAUCCCAAAUUCAAGUAAAAAGAAAGUAUCCAUUCUGUUUCAUGAUAUGAUUAAAUCCCCCAAAUUCAAAUUAAAAGAAUGUAUCCAUUCCGUAUCAUGAUACAUUGUAUAAUUAAAUCCCAAAUUCAAGUUAAAAGAAUGUAUCCAUUCCGUAUCAUGAUAUAAUUAAAUCCCAAAUUCAAGUAAAAAGAAUGUAUCCAUUCCGUAUCAUGAUAUAAUUAAAUCCCAAAUUCAAGUAAAAAGAAUGUAUCCAUUCUGUUCCAUGAUAUGAUUAAAUCCCCCAAAUUCAAAUUAAAAGAAUGUAUCCAUUCCGUAUCAUGAUAAAAUUAAAUCCCAAAUUCCAGUUAAAAGAAUGUAUCCAUUCUGUAUCAUGAUAUUAUUAAAUCCCCCAAAUUCCAGUUAAAAGAUGUAUCCAUUCCGUAUCAUGAUAUAAUUAAAUCCCAAAUUCAAGUUAAAAGAAUGUAUCCAUUCCGUAUCAUGAUAUAAUUAAAUCCCAAAUUCAAGUUAAAAGAAUGUAUCCAUUCUGUUUCAUGAUAUGAUUAAAUCCCCCAAAUUCAAAUUAAAAGAAUGUAUCCAUUCCGUAUCAUGAUAUAAUUAAAUCCCAAAUUCAAGUUAAAAGAAUGUAUCCAUUCCGUAUCAUGAUAUAAUUAAAUCCCAAAUUCAAGUUAAAAGAAUGUAUCCAUUCUGUAUCAUGAUAUUAUUAAAUCCCCCAAAUUCCAGUUAAAAGAAUGUAUCCAUUCCGUAUCAUGAUAUAAUUAAAUCCCAAAUUCAAGUUAAAAGAAUGUAUCCAUUCCAUAUCAUGAUAUAAUUUAAUCCCAAAUUCAAGAUAAAAUAAUGGACCCAUUUCUGCAUCACGAUAUAAUUAAACCCCAAAGAUUUUUUUUCUUUUUUUCUUAAAAACAUUAAAAACCGUCAUCACCCAUGCAUAUUUUUUUUUUUUUUUUUUUUUUU